UACGUAGGGGGCAAGCGUUAUCCGGAAUCAUUGGGCGUAAAGCGCGUGUAGGCGGUUCCGUAAGUCCGCUCUGAAAGCCCAGGGCUCAACCCUGGGAGGCGGGUGGAUACUACGGAACUGGAGUACGGAAGAGGAGAUUGGAAUUCCUGGUGUAGCGGUGAAAUGCGCAGAUAUCAGGAGGAACACCAACAGCGAAGGCAGAUCUCUGGGACGUUACUGACGCUGAGACGCGAAAGCAUGGGGAGCAAACAGG
rnacentral:rRNA from 1 species